UAUUCAGCCUCGUAGCAAUGGGACUUUUUUGGCCAUUGAUCAACGUUGCCCGCAUUGUGAGUACUUCAGACAGUGGAAGAGCCAACCCUGUGUUGGCAGUACCCCUGUUGGCAACCUCCAGCUGUCUGCUUCCCUGUACUUCUCUGGAGCUUCAUUCUUCCAGAUGAAAAAGGUAUUUGAGUCAAUGCAUUUGAAGAUGUUCACAUACAGAACCUUCAGAAGGCAUGCCAGCAUGUACCUGGAACCACUAAUAAUAUAUAAGUGGAAGAAGGAACAGGUGGAUUUAGUGAAGGAUCUCUGUGAGGCGGACAAGGUGAUAAUUGGUGGCGAUAUGAGAGCUGAUUCGCCAGGCCAUUCAGCAAAGUAUGGGAGCUACACCACAAUGGAUCUUCAAAAGAACCCCAUAAUAGACAUCCAGCUAGUGCAA